AUUGAUUUUGAAGUCAAAGCAGGUGGGAUUUUUCAAAGAUCUGAUUCUGUGCAGUCUAAAAGUUGUCUUUCUUAUGAACACAGGCACACAGUUGAUUUGAUUCAUUUGGGGUCGCAUUUUCAAAGAGUGGAGCAGCAGAGGUAUUCUAUGCAAGUGAAACAGGAAAAUGGUCUAGAGAGCAAAAUGAAUGAGAAGUUGCAGAAUAUAUUAAAAGCAACAUGGAAUUUCUACUCUCUCUCUGUAUUCUAGAAGGCAACAACAAACCAGUUUUGCUAUGGAAAGCCAAGCGGAGCACCCAAGACUUCUUCUACUCAACAACCACACUCCUCUAAAUCUGGAGGCCUAAAAAACCUUAUCUUGGUUGAUGAUAAAGGUCAUUGAGUUGUUUGAUGCAAAACUCUCAAUGCUUGGAUCUCACCAACUCCAAAAUGCUGCAACUGCCACUUGUGCGUCUCUAUGCCUUCGUGAUCAAGGUGCGGACCUUAUGUGUCUAUUUUCCAUUUUCCCUAGAACAUUAGAACAAAACUACUAUAUAUACUACCACAAAAUUUUGCUGUAUCCAAGUUGCUCUCUUUUUUGACUCUCUUCUUUGUCAAGUAAAAUAAUUGUAUGAAUGAGUAUCAAGGGGAUGUGGCCCAUAUAACUUUUUUGUCUUUCGGGUUAUGUUUGGAUCUUGGAUUUACGGAGGAAUUUAUAGAAAAAAAAAAGAAAAAGAAAAAGAAAUAUAAGAUAAUUCUUUUCUUUUCCUUGCAUUUUCUUUUCCCUUCACAAAUCCCUUCUCAAAUCAAAGAUCCAAAAACACAAUCUCAAUCUUUUAUAAACGAAAUUUCUAAGGGUUUGUUAGAGGCUAAUAUCAAAGAUCCAAACAUAGCCUCAAUCUUUUAUAGCUUAUAUGAUUUAUGUUUUCCGGCACAUACCAAGGAAUUUGCCAAAGCUUUAGCUGAUACAAUUCAGAUGACAAUUCCAAAGGCAAAAUUGGUUCUUGUCGUUGCAAUGGCAAGUGACAAAGACCAUUUGGGUUUUGCGAGAGAACUACUUUCAGUCAGAAAUUGGUUGGAGAGAUACAACAUAUGAUCAAAGAAUUAAAGAACUUUGUGUUUCAAGUUUUCUCAUUUUUUAAUAUAUGUAAUCACAGUUAAAAACUUUUUAUUAAUUCUUUUGUAUUACUUUGAACAUUCAACUUUCAUGGAAAAUGUCUCGUAGCUCAAAUUUUGUGGCUCAAAAGUGGCUCAAAUGGCCAAAACGACGUCGUUUUGGCCAUUUUUAUGUUGUUUUGUACUCAAUGAAAAUGCACAAGACACUAACAUCAACAA